rnacentral:lncRNA from 10 species
GCAACCUGUAAACAGCCCAAGAGUUAGAUAAAAUUGCUGCCUCAUUCUACUGAGAAAAAAAUGAUUGACAGGAGAGACAACAAGUUCCUGGCCUGCGUUUCACCCCAGUGGCCGAUGCAUCUGAAAUGCCUGCAGUUCUCAGCUCUUGAACAGAACUGAGGAGUCUUGAAAGAGGCCAUGGCAUGCCCUGUGGGGUCUCCAGGCAGCUUUGAUAGGCCCAGUUGGCAUUUGCUAUAAAAACUUAUUAAAUCCAGGCCUUUCUUCUGCAACUGAGACUCCAGAACAGCUGCCCCUGACAAACAAUAAAGAAGAGCUAUCGAAGUCACAUCAUGGGCUGG